AUGAUGAUGAAGGUCAAGGUCAACUGCCCGAACUUGAGGAAGGUCAACGGCUCUUCCGUGAUGAGGCCGAAGGCCAAGAGCUCUUGGAGGCUCUUCCAUGACGAGGAUGAUGAAGGUCAAGGGCUUUUUGAAGGACGAUGAAGGUCAACGACUCUUCCAUGAUGAUGAAGGUCAAUAGCUCUUUGAAGCUCUUCCAUGAUGAUGAUGAUGAUGAUGAAGGUCAAGGCCAACUGACCAGCCCCAACCAAGACCAAGGGCUCUUCCAUGCUGAGGAUGAUGAAGAUCAGAGACUCUCCAGGGAUGACGACGAAGGCCAAGAGCUCCUGGAGGCUCCGUGAGGAGGAGGAUGAAGGCCAAGAAGCCGUGGAGGAUGAUGAUGAGGAACCCUGGGGAGUCUUCGAGGAUGAAGGCUGGAAACUCUUCAAGGAUCGUGAAGACUGGAGACUCUUCAAGGAUGAUGAAGGCUGGGGACUCUUCCAGGAUGACGAUGACGAUGAUGAAGGCUGUGUGGAGGCUCCGCUGCCGAUGCCACCGAUGACGAUGACGAAGGACGAACGACGCCGAAGGCGCCGCCCUGGGACAGCACACCAGGAACGGAAAGGGGGGGAAGGUAAACCCAACAACCCUCAGGCCUCCUCUUCGGCCUCCUCGCCGAAAUCCUCCUCCUCCUCGGCCGUGGCGUCCUGGUACUGCUGGUACUCGGAGACGAGGUCGUUCAUGUUGCUCUCGGCCUCGGUGAACUCCAUCUCGUCCAUGCCCUCGGCCGUGGCGUCCUGGUACUGCUGGUACUCGGACACCAGGUCAUUCAUGUUGCUCUCGGCCUCGGUGAACUCCAUCUCGUCCAUCCCCUCGCCCGUGUACCAGUGCAGGAAGGCUUUGCGGCGGAACAUGGCUGUGAACUGCUCCGAGAUGCGCUUGAAGAGCUCCUGGAUGGCCGUGCUGUUCCCGAUGAAGGUGGAGGACAUCUUCAGCCCCCGUGGCGGGAUGUCACACACGGCCACCUUGACAUUGUUGGGGAUCCACUCCACAAAGUAGGAGCUGUUCUUGCUCUGGAUGGCCAACAUCUGUUCAUCCACCUCCUUCAUGGACAUGCGGCCACGGAAGACGGUGGCCACGGUGAGGUAGCGGCCAUGGCGGGGGUCACAGGCGGCCAUCAUGUUCUUGGCAUCGAACAUCUGCUGGGUGAGCUCGGGCACGGUGAGGGCGCGGUACUGCUGGCUGCCACGCGCCGUCAGCGGGGCGAAGCCGGGCAUGAAGAAGUGCAGCCGCGGGAAGGGCACCAUGUUGACGGCCAGCUUCCUCAGGUCGGCGUUGAGCUGCCCGGGGAAGCGCAGGCAGGUGGUGACGCCGCUCAUGGUGGCCGACACCAGGUGGUUGAGGUCGCCGUAGGUGGGCGUGGUCAGCUUGAGGGUGCGGAAGCAGAUGUCGUAGAGCGCCUCGUUGUCGAUGCAGUACGUCUCGUCCGUGUUCUCCACCAGCUGGUGCACCGACAGCGUGGCGUUGUAGGGCUCCACCACCGUGUCCGACACCUUGGGCGACGGCACCACGCUGAAGGUGUUCAUGAUGCGGUCGGGGUACUCCUCGCGGAUCUUGCUGAUCAGCAGCGUGCCCAUGCCCGAGCCGGUGCCGCCGCCCAGCGAGUGCGUCAGCUGGAAGCCCUGC
rnacentral:lncRNA from 12 species